GCCUUCGACUCCUGCUGGGGCCACGGGCAGGCCCCCCACCAUCCUCCCAGGGCACGGGAGCCCAUAGCUGUGUGUGUGGAUGCCCCAGAGAAAGGGGGUCUGCAGCAAAAGAGCUCCUAAUUCCAGGCAGAAUGGAGAGCCUCUGUGAGGCUUAUUCUAAGAGCCUGUCCUGGGGAACCAGGGAUGCCUGGAGCCAGCUGCCACCAGGAAAGGACGCGGGGCGGGGCCCUGAGCCCAACGGGGCCCUGGUCAUAGGGACACAGCCCCACAUUCAGCCACCAGCAGGAGAGGAGUCACCCCAGGGACAGGCCUGCCUGGAAUGUGAGGUGCUGCCCCUUUGACCCCAACAACCAGCUUCUCCUGCAGUUGGGAUGAGGGGAAAGACGCAUGUGCCUCAGACCACAGAGCCAGCAGAACCCCAAAUCCAGCCUUUGGCCCCAGGGCCCUCGACCACACCUGGUAGCCUAGACUGAUGACACAGCUCUGCAGGCGGGUCCCCCUGCCGGUGGCACCGAGGCUGCCAUCCAGCUCUGGCCAGGAGUCCCGCCCUGCCCCGGCUUGCCUGCUCCACUGGGGACGUCGCCUGAGAGGCUCCCCGUCCUGGAGCAGAACCCCCUGCAGCCUCCACUGAAGGACCCCGCGGUCACUGCGGCCCCCGGGCCUCCGCUGAAGGACCCUGCCUCGGCCAGGCCCUGGGGCGCCUACAUCGGCUGAGGUGUUGGGGGGCAUUCUCCCCAGCGUCCACCCGACUUCCUCAAGGACAGCGGGAGAGGGUCAUCCUGAGCCGUGGCGGCCGGAGCCAAGUGCCCGCGUCUCUCUGGAGGUCAGCUGGUGGCCCCGGUUUCCCACGAGCAGGAAAGCGGGGGGUCCAGAGCCGCGGCCCUCUGCAGGAAGCAGCUGUUUCAUAAACACAACGAACAGCCGACUGCCACACACCAGAGUCGAUAAAAGCAAAAUCGUGAAA